rnacentral:rRNA from 1 species
CAAGCGUUGUUCGGAAUUACUGGGCGUAAAGGGCGCGUAGGCGGCCUGCUAAGUCGAACGUGAAAUCCCUGGGCUCAACCCAGGAACUGCGUCCGAUACUGGUUGGCUUGAAUCCGGGAGAGGGACGUGGAAUUCCAGGUGUAGCGGUGAAAUGCGUAGAUAUCUGGAGGAAUACCGGUGGCGAAGGCGGCAUCCUGGACCAUGACUGACGCUGAGGCGCGAAAGCUAGGGGAGCAAACGGG